CCCAGCCAGCCGCACUCUCACCUGCUCACAGUCGGUUUUACGUCUCAAAUUGGCCGCCUCGGCUGAUGGACGGUCCGCAGGCAGCUCUCGGGACAUGUCCAUGAAAUCCUUGGAAAGAGCUCCCGAGGACGCCAUCGUCUUACUGCAUCCUUUCACCUGCACCUGCGUCCUCUGCAUGGAUUCUUCACUGUGGCGUCCACGGCCUCCUGCACCCAGAGCUGCUGCAGCUCUGCCACGCCAGCACCCACAUGGACUCUGCCGAAGGGGGCCCAACGCUUCGCGGGUCACUGUUGCCCAUCUUUCCAGAGCCCAUGCCAGCACCGCCUCCUUAGGUUGUCUUUUUGGAUUUGCUUGUUUGUUUAAUGGUUUUCUUUGCUGUGCAAAAGCCUGUCAGUUUGAUUAGGUCUCAUUGGUUUAUUUUUGGUUUUUAUUGCUAUUGUUUUGGGAGACUGACCUAAGAAAACAUUUGCACGGUUGAUGUCAGAGAAUGUUUAGCCCAUGUUCUCUUCUAAGUCUUAUGGCAUCUUGUUUUAUGCUUAAGUCUUAAGCCCUUUUGAGUGUAUUUUUGUGCAUGGUAUGAGGGUGUGUUCCAGUUUCAUUGAUUUACAUGAGGCUGCCCAGUUUUCCCAGCAUCACUUGCUGAAAAGACUGUCUUUUUCCCAUUUUAUAUUCUUGUCUCCUUUGACAAAGAUUAAUUGACCAUAAGUGUCUGGCUUUAUUUCUGGGUUCUCUGUUCUGUUCCAUUGGUCUGUAUGUCAGUUUUGGUACCAAUUCCCCACUGUCUUGAUGACUGUGGCUUUGUAACAUUGCCUGAAGUCUGGGAGAUUAUGCUUCCUGCUUGGUUUUUGUUCCUCAGCAUUGCUUUGGCAAUUCUGGGUCUUUAUGGCUCCACAUAAAUUUUGGGGUUGUUUGUUCAACCAGAACUGUGAAAAAUAUCAUGGGUAAUUUGAUAGGGAUUGCAUUGAAUCUGUAGAUUGCUUUGGGUGGUAUGGCCAUUUUUACAAUAUUAAUUUUUCCAACCCAGGAGCAUGGAAUAUCUUUCCACUUCUUUGAAUCCUCUUUAAUUUCCUUGAUGAAUGUUUUAUAGUUCUCAGCAUAUAUGUCUUUCACCUCCCUGGUCAGGCUUGUUCCUAGGUAUUUAAUUUCAUGUGGUGUGAAUUAAAAUGUAUUUUUCCUUUUCUAAUAUUUCAUUGUUAGUAUACAGAAAUGCCACUGAUUUCUGAAUGUUAAUCUUAUAUCCUGCUACUUUGAUGAAUUUGUUGAUCAGUUUAGUCGUUUUUGGGUUGAGUCCUUAGAGUUUUCUAUAUAUAGUAUCAUGUCAUCUGCAUACAGUGACAGUUUUACCUCUUCUCUUCCGAUUUGGAUACCUUUUAUUUAUUUUGUUUGAUCGCUGUGGCCAGGACUUCCAGUACUAUCUUGAAUGAAAGUGGUGAGAGUGGGCAUCCUUGUCGUGUUCCAGCUUUUAGUGGGAAGGCUUUCAGCUUUUCUCCGUUGAGUAUUAUAUUUGCUAUGGGUUUGUCGUAAAUGGAUUUUAUUAUGUUAAGGUAUGUUCCUUCAGUACCCACUUUGGUAAGAGUUUUUAUCAUGAACAGAUGCUGGAUUUUAUCAAAUGCUUUUUUUGCACCCAAUUUCACCCCGUCCCUCAUCCCUGGAGACCUGAGGGUUUUGUUUUUGUUUUUGUUUGUUUGUUUGUUUGUUUACUUUUUUGUGUGUGUGUUGGGGGGGAGUGAGUUUUGUUUAAGUUUUAUUGACGUCUAAUUAAUUUACAAGGUUGUGAUAAUUUCUGCUAAACAACAAAGUGACCCAGUUGUACAUACACACAUACCCAUUCUGAUUCUUUUCCUGCACAGUCAAUCACAGAAUACUGGGUAGAGUUCUCUGGGCUCUACAGCAGGUCCCUGUUGACCCAUCAUUCCACAG
rnacentral:lncRNA from 1 species